CCUCUCUCUCCCCAGAUCGGGCCCAACACAGGCAGCGUCAGUGUAAGCUUCCACCACCCCGCCUCCCCCCGAUGUGCGUCACCCCCGCCCCCGGAGGGACCAUCUCUCGAGGUAAGCGAGG
ensembl:misc_RNA